ensembl:lncRNA
CAAUUUAGUUAAAGAUGAUAAGACAUUAAUUUAUGACAGAAAAGAAACACAAAUAAAAGGAAAAGGAGUGAUGGUAACAUAUUUGUUGACGAAUGUUAUUGGUUUGAAUUAUCCGUUUGUGGGCGAGCAUAAAAAUAGAAAAAAAAUAAAAAAGUGUAAAAAAGGUGGAAAAGGUGCUAAAUCCAUAAAAAAUAUUAAUUCUAUAGAUAAAAGUAAUGAUAUAGGCAAAAUAAGUGGCGAUGGUAACGAUAUUAAUGAAACUGCAGAUUAUAAUAAUACUAAAACCUCAAAUAAUGUGUACCCUAAUAAAUUGAAUGCAACUAACGAAUACAUGAUGAAUAAAACAUAUUCUAAUGAUGUUAUCAUACACAGUAGUAAUAAUUCAGAAAACGAAAACGAUAAUAAUAUGGUCGAUGACAAUGUUGAUCAAGGUUAUUAUUCAGAAGAUGAUUAUUAUUAUGAGGAUGAGUACAAUAAUGAAAAUGAUGAUAUACAUAAUUAUAUAAAUUUGAAAGAUUUAUCAUUUAGCGACUUGUCUAAUGAAAAUAUAAGAGAUAUUAAUACACAUUACUAUGAUAUUAUAAAAUUAAGGAAUUUAAAAAUUGGGUCUGCUGUUGGUCAUCAGUCACGACAAAAAGAAGUUUUGAAUAUGUCGAUUUUGAAUAAUGGAUUACAUAAUGAUUCGCAUAUACAUAUGAAUCAAUUUUUUGAUCAAGCUAAAGGUGCAGAAGAAACGCGAGAAAUAGAUUUAAGUAUGAAAAAAUAUUCAUUAAACAGCUCAUUACACUUUUUAAAUGAAAGCUUAGCAAAAAAGGAUACAGACAGUGUUACAUAUAACAACAGUAAAUCAACACGUGUAAAAAGUGUGUUAGAACAAUAUCAUAUUCAAAAUAUAAAUAAUUUUAUGAAUACAGAUAUAGGUGAUAAUAAGGAGGAUGAUUUGAAAAAUAUUCAAUUAUGUAAUAGACGUUGUAUUAGUUGUAAUCAAAUUUAUUGUGCACCUAAUGAAUGUAUUAAUGAAGAACAUGUAAACCAUGUAUCAUACCACAAAAUGUUAAACAAUAUACGAUCUAAUUAUAUUAAAAAAAUAAAACAAGAUAAAAAAAAUAAUGAAGAAAUUGUGGCAGAAGCAAAUGCAAGUUAUAAAAAAAGAACAUUGUGUUGGUUAGCAAAUGUUUGUUCUUGUUUUAGUUCUUUGUUAAGUUUUUUUAAAAAAAGACGAGUUAAUAGUUAUGAGGAAAAAAUGAACGAGGAGCAUGUACAAAGCCAUAACGGAAAAACACAUUACGAUAAUAUAACUAAAAGAGAGAAUAGACAACAAAAUAAAAACAACAAACUAAUUUUUAUAAAUAGCGAUUGGAUAUUUUUAAAAUUUAGUGAUAAAAACUUAGAAGAAAAAUAUCGAGUUCAUUUUUACAGUAAUAAAUCUAACAUAAACUCUAUUGAACAAGCGUUAAUAAUAUUUUUAGUUACGUUUGUCACACAGUCGUUAUUAUCAAGUACAGUGCCAAUAACGUUUGUUGAUCAUAAAAGAACAACUCAGACUUUUCAAAUUAAUUAUUUAGCUUAUUGGUCCGUCCGAUCUGUUUAUACCUAUGCUGGUUUUAUGCUGUGGUUAUUAUUUCAUUAUAGAACAAGACCCGAAGUAUCAUCUUUGUUAAAUAUAAAAUGGAUGAUAUUUUUUUUAAAUUUGUUAUUAAUAUCUGCUGCAUGUGUUUUUUCAGUUGCAUAUAUGUGGUCUAUAACUGACACAGAUGUCAAGGCGUCCUACACAAUGUGGAUGACUAAUGAUACGAUCGAGUUAUUUUUUUAUUUAGUUAUUUUGCAUCAUAACACUGGUAUGCUAUUUCAAACAUGUAUAUUAGUCGAUUUGUUAUUUAUCACUAUGUCAUUAACUUUUAUCUCUACUAGUGUUGUAAAAACGUUAACUACUGAUUCGACCGUUAUGUUAAUACCA